GGAUUGUGGCUCAGCGGUAGAGCACUUGCCUUACACGCGCAAGACCUUGGGUUCAAUCCUCAGCACCA
rnacentral:tRNA from 1 species